CGGAGGGAGCUAGCGUUGUUCGGAAUUACUGGGCGUAAAGCGUACGUAGGCGGUUAUUCAAGUCAGAGGUGAAAGCCCGGGGCUCAACCCCGGAACGGCCUUUGAAACUAGAUAGCUAGAAUCUUGGAGAGGUCAGUGGAAUUCCGAGUGUAGAGGUGAAAUUCGUAGAUAUUCGGAAGAACACCAGUGGCGAAGGCGACUGACUGGACAAGUAUUGACGCUGAGGUACGAAAGCGUGGGGAGCAAACAGGAUUAGAUACCCUGGUAGUCCACGCCGUAAACGAUGAUAACUAGCUGUCCAGGCACUUGGUGCUUGGGUGGCGCAGCUAACGCAUUAAGUUAUCCGCCUGGGGAGUACGGUCGCAAGAUUA
rnacentral:rRNA from 1 species